rnacentral:lncRNA from 1 species
AUAGGCAGUGGAGCUUGGUAGACUGGGCUUUGAACCGUCUAUGUCCGACCCUGCACUGUUUGUCAAACGUGGUUCGAUCGAUAUGCUAGUGCAUGUAGACGAUCUACUAGUGGCCACAGCGACUUUGCAGGAGGUCGCUGCAGCGUUUGCCUUUGGAUAAACUGAUAGACAGCAAGGUCUUAGUAAAGGUGUUCUGGAUGCCGACUGGCUGCAAGGUUACUCGACUCCUGGUGACUAAAAGUGACACCGUGCUGGAAGCAGUCAGCAAUGAGGGUCAUGUCGUACUGGAUCUGCAGCCGCUGCAGAUACCCGGUCCACGUGUCAGUGCUGUCCAACCCACGGGUCACUGUGGGGGUAGCGCCGCCGGGCAGGAUGGUAGUGGAAGUGCUGCCGCUGGGCAAAGUGCCGGCAGCCGGGAGGUCACACCGGCGGGAGCUCGAAAGGACAACAGUGUCGCCGGACGGAUCACAGCGGCAACACCAACGGCUGUUCAGCAGCCGAGCUUUCUGCGGCACAAUGCCUGGACCGCAAGAUGGGGCAUCUCAGCUAUCGCGUGGCAUCGCAUACACUCCGUGCCGUAUUCUCCUCCAUUAUCACUAAGAAGUGUGCGCACACAUGCCUGGGCCGGUGGCGUGGCUGCAUCUGCUCACCAUGUCCUGCAGAGCAGCUCCAACGUGGUCUUUAGCCACUAACGUUCGGACGAGAGAACGGCCCGUGGAACCGUCCAGCUGCAUGAGCAGGUACCGUGCACCUCCACACGGCGUGACGCGGCCGGUGCAGGUGAAGGAAGCCGUUUUGGCUGUCGCGACACUGUUAUCCUUCGAGCUGCCGCCGGUGUGACCUCCAGCGGUGGUGCCGCUGCCGGCACUUUGGCCAGCGGCAGAGCAUCAUGGGCCGGCAUUCUAUGCCAUUUGCGGCUUUGUAACGAUAUUGACUCAGUGAGCAGAGAACUAAUAUUCAUGUCCUAAAUAUCGGUACGCAUUUGUCGGCGCCAACAGCAUUCCAAUUAGGAGUGAAGAAGGAGCUGCAAC